UACGGAGGAUGCAAGCGUUAUCCGGAAUUAUUGGGCGUAAAGCGUCCGCAGGUGGCACUUCAAGUCUGCCGUCAAAGACCGGGGCUUAACCCUGGAAAGGCAGUGGAAACUGAAGCGCUAGAGUGUGGCAGGGGUAGAGGGAAUUCCCGGUGUAGCGGUGAAAUGCGUAGAGAUCGGGAAGAACAUCGGUGGCGAAAGCGCUCUACUGGGCCAUAACUGACACUCAGGGACGAAAGCUAGGGGAGCGAAUGGG
rnacentral:rRNA from 1 species